rnacentral:rRNA from 1 species
UGGGGAAUAUUGGACAAUGGGCGAAAGCCUGAUCCAGCCAUGCCGCGUGUGUGAAGAAGGUCUUCGGAUUGUAAAGCACUUUAAGUUGGGAGGAAGGGCAGUAAGCGAAUACCUUGCUGUUUUGACGUUACCGACAGAAUAAGCACCGGCUAACUCUGUGCCAGCAGCCGCGGUAAUACAGAGGGUGCAAGCGUUAAUCGGAAUUACUGGGCGUAAAGCGCGCGUAGGUGGUUCGUUAAGUUGAAUGUGAAAGCCCCGGGCUCAACCUGGGAACUGCAUCCAAAGCUGGCGAGCGAGAGGAGGGCAGAGGGUGGUGGAAUUUCCUGUGUAGCGGUGAAAUGCGUAGAUAUAGGAAGGAACACCAGUGGCGAAGGCGACCACCUGGGCUCAUACUGACACUGAGGUGCGAAAGCGUGGGGAGCAAACAGG